rnacentral:rRNA from 1 species
AUUGAACGCUGGCGGCAGGCCUAACACAUGCAAGUCGAACGGUAACAGGAAGAAGCUUGCUUCUUUGCUGACGAGUGGCGGACGGGUGAGUAAUGUCUGGGAAACUGCCUGAUGGAGGGGGAUAACUACUGGAAACGGUAGCUAAUACCGCAUAACGUCGCAAGACCAAAGAGGGGGACCUUCGGGCCUCUUGCCAUCGGAUGUGCCCAGAUGGGAUUAGCUAGUAGGUGGGGUAACGGCUCACCUAGUCGACGAUCCCUAGCUGGUCUGAGAGGAUGACCAGCCACUCUGGAACUGAGACACGGUCCAGACUCCUACGGGAGGCAGCAGUGGGGAAUAUUGCACAAUGGGCGCAAGCCUGAUGCAGCCAUGCCGCGUGUAUGAAGAAGGCCUUCGGGUUGUAAAGUACUUUCAGCGGGGAGGAAGGGAGUAAAGUUAAUACCUUUGCUCAUUGACGUUACCCGCAGAAGAAGCACCGGCUAACUCCGUG